rnacentral:lncRNA from 1 species
CGGCUGGGCCACAGCACGCGUGAACUUGUUCACGCGUGCGUAGCGCUGUGCGAAGGCAAUUAAAUUGCCUUCGCGCAGUGUUCUUGCAAAUUAAAACAAGCAAUAGGAAGAAGUCGCGUACCUGGCGAUGGGGACGAUGGCGAAGCUUUGGCUGGAACGCUGGUGGUGACUUUCGCCCUCUGCUUGUGUCUCUUUCCUUCUGCUGUUUUUCUUCGCUUGCGUUUUGUCUCCUCUGUUUUAAGAUGAAGGAAACUAGACAAUGGUAAUGCCGGUUGUCAAUAGUCCUUGGUUCUUGGUUGUUCUUUUUCUGCAGGGACGAAGGCCGCGGGCUGAUCUGUGACUCUACUCUGCCUUUCUCCCCAUUCUCUGUAUUUUUUUUGGGUUUUUAUGCUCUGUUUCUGUGCUGCGAGUUCCUCUGUUUUGGGUUGUUUUUCUUCUUUGUUUUUCUGGGUUUUUUUGCUUGCGUCUUUCUGGGUCCUCCUGCUUCUGUUUUUUCUGGGUAAAUUACCUUUUUUUCUGGGUUCCCCCUUCCCCCCUUGAUGGUUUUUUUUCUUCCCCUUUUAUAGAGCUCGAGCUUCCCCCUAAAUCAAUCCCAUCUUUGCAGGACUGUUAUUCAAAUCACGAGCGGGAUCAUGGGCAAGAGACGUGGUCCACGAUCGAUCGAAUUUGUUGCAGAUCUUCAGCCUGCUGAACCGGGAUGGAGAAGACGACCACAGCUGUUUCCAGCAACGGCGACGUUUCGGGAAAAAUGAGGAUUUUCAAUUAGACCCCUGAACUUUGGACAUUUCACAAUUGGACCCCUAAACAAAUAAAAAUUUCUUUUAAUUUUGCCCUUUUAUUGGAUAAAUUUAAAUUAAAUCCUUAAAUUGGUGCACUGUUUACAAAACAGUCCUUAAUUCCUGGAUUAUUCAAUUUGGUCCUUAAUUAAUUCUUUCAAUGUUACCCUUUUUGGAUAAAUUUCAAUUAAGUCUCUGAAUUUAUUUAAUUAAUUAAAUUAAAG